CCCUCCUCACAAUGCUUCCCUGUUCAGUGCAAGCAAACGAGGACUAUGAGGACUAUGAGUACGAUGAGCUUCCAGCCAGGGACGACCCAGGUGCCCCUCUGCAGCCCGUGACACCCCUGCAGCUGUUUGAGGGUCGGAGGAACCGCCGCAGGAGGGAGGCGCCCAAGGUGGUGGAGGAGCAGGAGUCCAGGGUCCACUACACCGUGUGCAUCUGGCGGAACGGCAAGGUGGGGCUCUCUGGCAUGGCCAUCGCAGACAUCACCCUCCUGAGUGGAUUCCACGCCCUGCGUGCUGACCUAGAGAAGCUGACCUCCCUCUCUGACCGUUAUGUGAGUCACUUUGAGACCGAGGGGCCCCACGUCCUGCUGUAUUUUGACUCGGUGAGUGGGGAGAGGUGACGUAGGAAUGGACUCGAUGGCACUGGGUGUACUGAGUGUGUGUUAGGAGGUUUCUCAGGAGACAGCUCUGUCAGCGGCCGGUGCUCUUGGGGACUUGAUGUCAUCAGCGAGAAGGAGGAGGAUGUGAGCCUGUGAGACACAGCAGAGUAAGGGGCAGACGUGCAGGUGGCAGGGGCCAGUGCCAGUCAGCGGGGACCCUCGGGGAUUGAGAGGGAUGCUUCGUAAAGCCGGUUUUAUUCAGCUUGAGGGGCUGCCUUUGUUUUUUUGUUGAACUUCCUUUUUUUUUUAUAUUAAAGUAUAUUUUCUUUUACAAAGUGACAGUGGCCAUAGAUGACAGCUGUAUUUGUCUUUUCACGGCCUUAUUUGGCUAAAAUAG
rnacentral:lncRNA from 1 species